rnacentral:miRNA from 10 species
UCUACAGCCGUACUACCCCGAACGUGCCUGAUCUUAUCUGAUCUCAGAAGCUAAGCAGGGUCGGGCCUGGUUAGUACAUGGAUGAG